CCUUCUUUUUCUCUCUUUUUCCUUCUUUCCUUUUCUUCCCUCUCUCUUCUUCUUCUAUUUCCUUGAGAAGUUAAAUCUCCAGGGCUCAACCCGGAAACUGCUUUUCAUACUGGCCAGCUGGAGGGACGCAGGGGUGACUGGAAUUCCCGGUGUAGCGGUGAAAUGCAUUGAUAUCGGGAGGAACUCCAACAGCGAAGGCAGGUCACUGGGCUUUUCCUGACGCUGAGGCGCGAAAGCGUGGGUAGCAAACAG
rnacentral:rRNA from 1 species